AGGCGCGGCGAGGCGGGUGGCGCGCGGCAGCAGGGUUGGGCUCUCGCCGUGAGUCGACGAAGGGAGCGCGGGCGCGCGCCCGCGUCCGCGCACUGAGAGUCGCCUCGGCCGCUCGCUUUCUCGACUCCCGCCUCGCGCCUCGAUCCUGUUCCGCCUCCCUCGGCCCUCCUGCCCGCCCCCACUCGUCGGCCCUCAGCUCAGAGACCUAAUAGGAUGGGGUCUUAGAGAAACAUCUUUUGAGCCACAGACUUCUUUGUUACCAGAAGGAAAAUGAAAGAAGAAAUUUAAAUACCACUUGAAGAGAGCUGAUCGCCACCAACUGGCCUCUGGGUGGAUUUGGCCAAUGGAAGCACCUGUAGAGGGAAGAGAGUGAGGUUAGGAUAUUUCUUCCUGCUGUCUCCGUGCUUCCCUGCAGAGAGUGUGAAGAAAUGACCCUGAAAAGCCUCUGGCAGAGGAUUCUUCUUUCAGGAUGGUGUCGCCUCCUCAGCAGCCCAUCCUCCUCCCCUGGACUCAAGCUCUCAUUCCAGUAACACUCCUUCCUCCUUCUCCAUCUUCAGGGGGAGGUUUGCCAGUCGGUGGGUUCUAAGCAUAUCUCGCUGAUUCCCCCCAACCCUGCCGACACCUCUGUAGGUCGUCCCUUCAUUAAAAUCUCUCCAUUUGAACUAUCUGAGUUUAAUUCCAUUUCCUCCUGGUAUCUCAGUGAUACACGGUAUCAGUACAAAAAUCUCGCUUCACCUUCAGAACCAACAGAUUUGAGACAUUUUAUCCUCUGUGGAACCAUUAGUUAUUUUGUCAUUGGUUGUAUCAGAAAAAAAAAUCAGGAAUGCAAAUCCUUCUUUAUUACAAAUUCAGAUUUGCAUAUUACCAAUGUUAUAUAUUUUAAACAAAACUAUUCAUCAUAAGUUUUAAAAAUUAACUACUGGAGUAGUUAAUGAAUCUGAAUGUAAUUAUGUAGCUUUCAUAAUAUUAAAGUAAAAAUACUAAAAGAAGUAUUUCUUAAAGAAGCAAAUGCUCAAUCUCCAAGUAAAUUUUAUUCUAUGCUCUUCCGGUAUAAGAAUAUGUUAAUAUCUUGAAAAAUAUCAUAUUAUUUUGUGAACUCAUAAAGCUAUUUUGAGUUUUUGUAAAAUGAAAACCUUACCAAAAUGUAUUUUAUUGUUGGAAAGCUUGACCGUUACUGCUGUUUAAUUUUUUGAGCUUGUAAACUUUAUUUGUGCAUGUUUUCAACAAAGAAGGAUUUUAUUGUUAUUACAUAAAACAGGUGAUUUCUAGAUUUUAAAAUCACAAAUUGAAAGCAAGGCACAAUAAUAUAUAUUUCAAGAUAUAGGUACUUAGGAGGCAUCCUUUUAGUCAUCUGUUCAAUGUAGCCAUCUAUUUUACACCUACUGUCUACUAUUGUUUGAGGUCCUUGCCAAAGUAUUGCAGGCUAGUUAGGAAACAUAAAACAAUUAGAAAGUAAUCUAUGACAAGUAAGCUAUCUAUAAAUGGCAAUGAAGGGUAGAACAAAUUCAAUGAAAAUAUCUAUUUAAUCCUAGUGUUUACUGGUCUAGAAGAAUAGGCUGAGUAAAUUAGUAUUUCUCUGGCUGUUGUGGUAACACAUUGCAUGCUAUAACAGUUUUAAGUAAUUACAGGUGCAUUGAAAUUUAUCUAUGGCUUUGUCAUCAUAUUCUAAAAUGUCAUGAGUACUUUUUUCUGACCUCAAUUACUAUGAAAUUGGUUUCCAAUAUUUAAUUAACCAAGAAUAUCAAGUCUAUAGGGUAUUAUUAAGGUGAGACUUCUGUAGCCUUUUCAAUAAAGACCAGAAUUUUGGAGUGCCUUGAACCUUAAUCAUUGAUCUUUAAUUCUUAUUAAGUCAACUGCCCACCUUUUAAAGACUGAGGCCCAGGAAGAGUAAGUUUCUCUGAGACAAUGCAUACAGUACAGUGCUUCUUGGGUAUUGGCUCUAAGACCAGAUGCAAAGAAAGGCUAAAAUCCCAUUUCAUUGUUCAUUAGGUGAGAACCCUUUGUUAAGCUGUGUAACCUCUGUGCAUAGUUUCCUCAUCAGCAAAGUCAGAAAAAGUAUGUACCUGAAGGACUGAUUGUAAGGCUGGGAUGAGAGAAUCCAUGUGAUCAGCCCUCACCAACAGGUGCUGCCCAGUUCAUGAGUGCUGCUGCUGUCCUGCCCAAGUACCCAGCUUGCAGAGUGCCAGAGUUAGAGUCCCAGGGGUGUUCUCCACAGCUGCAUGCUUGAUCCAGGCCUAUCAGAUAUAUUCCAUUGAAAGUCCUCAUUCUCAAAUUUAAAACAAAGACUUUUUGUGUACCUCAAUAGCAAUGCACACACAGUUGGCUUCACAAACAUAUUGUACAUUUCUUUUUUUCAUAUUUAUUCAACAAAUGUAUAUUGACUACCCACCAUGUGACAGGUGUUAUUUGUUGGCGGAACCAGGCAUCAUCAGCAAACAAAACUGACAAAGCUUCCUGCCCUCUGUGGAAGGCAUCUGAGGAAGAGACUGGAUUUUGUAGCAACAUGUUAUUCUCAUUAUAAACUUUAUCAUUGGAAUACUAAAGCCAAAUCAUCCCCCAUCUCCUUGAUCAGGAUACCCACUUAAUCUAGGCAGCUACACAAUUGUGAGAGCCUUUGUUUUUUUCUGCUGAAACAUCCUUAAAAAGAUACCUCACAACCCAAGAUUUGGCUUUUCUUAAAUACGAUUUUUAAUUUUUUUCAUUUCUAUCUAGAGAUUUAAUUGGAAAUGGAAAAUCAUCAAUUUUCCAAUUAAAUGUCUGUUCCAAUCAACAUUAUACCUUUUAGGUUGUCAUUGUCAUUUUUAAGUUUAAGCAACUUUAAGGAUUUUGAAUCUGGCUGCCUGUAAAUUAAAGGUGAAAGUAAUCAUUGUGUUGGAUUGGUACAUUUUGUCAAUUGAGAGUGGUUUCCUUGUUCUUAGUGUAUGAAAAGUUUAUUUUUCUAAUGUAGAUUAAUAAAGGAGAUAAAGAAAAACAAAAUGAGU
rnacentral:sRNA from 1 species